CAGGCUAAAAUCUAUUUAUUUCUUUGCAUAAAUAGUUGUAUUGUCUUCAGUAAGGAUUAUCACAGAUCCAGCUGCUAUUAGAUCAUUUUAUUCAGGCUAUACACAUUCCAGAAUCCCUUGUAGUUGUUAUGAAAUUUAGCCAUAAACUGUUGUUGAUAUAUAAAAAUCUUGCAUCUCUUUAAAAAUUUUGUCUGGCAAGCUUGCUUUACAUCCCAGCCCUCUAAGUUCAUUUAUAUUAAUUGUCUCAAGAUUAAGUUAGUCAUAAACACAUUUAUAAUGUGAUUUUGCUUCCUCUCUCAGAGGACAAUGGGCUAAAUUCAAUGGGGACCUAAAGGAAGAUGCUUGAUGCAAACCAAGGAGGGAAUUUCUUUAAUUAGAUAGAAGUGCUCAUGGGUUUCUUGCAUUUUGCUUCACACACACACACACCCCCAAAUAAAUAAAUUAAUAAAUAAAUUAAAAUUAAAAAUAAAAAUAAAAAUAAAAAGUUACUUUUCUAAUCCUUAAAAUUAGGGAUGAAAAAGAAAAAGUUGAGAAGCAGAAUAAAAAAGCAGAAUAAAAGCCUUCCCUUUACCUAUAACUACCUUAAUUAAUGAAGUUCAUACUAGCACUUCUGUUAAAUACUCUAACUGAGAACUCUGUAACUCUGACAGGCCAGAUAUCUUUAAUAAUGCCCUCUUUUCAAUAAAAAGCCGAACUGAAGCUAAAGUACACAAGGGCAGAAAUCUGGCCUCAGCCUUGGAAGAGGCUGGGAUAACUCCAACCUAAAGGUGCAUGGAUAUUGGCAUUCUACGUGGGACAGUGUAGAGAAUGCAUCACAAGCAGCAGACAUGUCACUGGCUCUCAGUACUGCCAUGAAGAAUCAUGAUACUGCCAUGUUGAAAAUGUCAGGGAGCCUGUGUUCUCACUUUGUGACAGCCAAACGCUGAUUCUACUAAAUUUUUUCAGUGUAAGUAAAUUGCCAGGAGUACAAGGGUUCAACAUAAGACAUGGGUGUACUUCUCUGCCUCAUAUGUUGAUGAACUUGUAGUCCUCUACAUGGGUCAGUAUUUCCAUAGCAGAGAUGCCUGGGUAUCUUGGAGAAUCUCAUGUCUUUUUCAUCUUUUCUUAUUCACUACAAAAUAUACUGAGCUUUUGAAAAUUUGACAUUUAGCACCUGCUGAACAUAGGUGUUAAAUGACUCCAUCAAAACAGUAGUGAAAAACUAAAGUUCCUGAAGCAUGAUAAAGUGCAUGUAGGAGACAGUUUUAAUUCACAUCAUCUGCUCAUUGACUUUGGCUGAACUGAACUUCACAAGGAAAGAAACGGGUUGGAAAGAAGAAAAGGAAAAAGAAAGAAAAGAGGUACUAUUACAGAAAAUGCCCAGUAAAACUUUCUUUCUUAUCACAUCUCUCAAAGCUGUUAAGGAAAAUGGUCAUUACUCAUCACUUACUGAGUUUCCAGCCUGCAAAAGAAUGAUAUUCUCAAGGUGAAGACUUAAGAAGCUAGUAUUUAAAGGGAGAUUAUAAACAUGAGGGAAAUCAACUUUUUGCAUGGGUAGAUAGCAAUAGGACAAGUGGGAAUGUUUUCAAUCUAAUGGAAGGGAUAUUUAGAUUAGAUUAGAUGUCAGGGGGAAGUUUUUUACCGAGAGUGGUGAGGUGCUGGAACAGGUUGCCCAGAGAGGUUGUGGAUGCCACCCAUUCUUGGAGCUGUUUAAGGCAAGGUUGGAUGGGGUCCUGGGCAAUCUGAUCUAGAACUUGAUCGAGCAGCUGGCAGCCCUGCCUGUGGCAUGGAGUUGUAACCCAAUGAUCUUUAAGGUCCCUUCCAACCCAAGCCAUUCUGAUUCUGUGACAUGGAAGUUCUACUGUAAGGUCCCAGUUUCCUUUUGUAAUUUGGGCAAAUCAUUAGAUUGAGGUUCUUAAUGAUCUGAGGUGAGUCAACUUCCUACAGGCAGCUGGCCUCAUAGCUUAAUCCUCCAGAAUAAAGUUAAUACACAAUCUCAUCUGUAUUUGCUAUAGACUCUCCAAGACAGGAUUGUAACCUAGAGCCUCAAAUAUGUCUAUGCAGGCUUCUAGCCAGCAGUGACCCACUUAACCUUCAGGUACGUUGCCACACAGCCUACAAAAUAUUCUUUUCUGAGGAAAGAUCCCCUGGACAUCAGUGGAUGGCAAGUUUUUUCAAUAAUACACGAUCUCUAUGGUUUUGGCUUGCACACAGAUCACAUUUUUGAUGCAUGUCACAAAAGCUAAUCUCACUGGAGAUACUGGAGCUCUUAAUAGGGCAGUAUAUUUCUUUAUUUCUUUAAGUGACCAGGGCUGGGGUGAUAGGUAUUAACCCAUCAAUAUCUGGGAAGUAUAAGACUUUUUUAAUUCACAAUCUGAUUUUCCAUUCCAUUGUGCUUCUUUUAUGCUGGUCACCAUCCCCACAUGUUUCUCUGUUUAAUGUAAAAUAAUUAAAUUUUUGCCAUAAACAGUUUCAAACCUUCAUUCAUCAGUGUCUUAAAUGUCCCCAGUUAAUAGACAAAUGCCUUACAGAACUAGAUUCAAAACAGACAGAAAUGGCUCCUAAGAUUA
rnacentral:lncRNA from 1 species